rnacentral:rRNA from 1 species
GAUGAACGCUGGCGGCGUGCCUAAUACAUGCAAGUCGAGCGAACGGACGAGAAGCUUGCUUUUCUGAUGUUAGCGGCGGACGGGUGAGUAACACGUGGAUAACCUACCUAUAAGACUGGGAUAACUUCGGGAAACCGGAGCUAAUACCGGAUAAUAUUUUGAACCGCAUGGUUCAAAAGUGAAAGACGGUCUUGCUGUCACUUAUAGAUGGAUCCGCGCUGCAUUAGCUAGUUGGUAAGGUAACGGCUUACCAAGGCAACGAUGCAUAGCCGACCUGAGAGGGUGGUCGGCCACACGGGAAGUGAGACAGGGUCCAGACUCCUACGGGAGGCAGCAGUAGGGAAUGUGCCGCAAUGGGCGAAAGCCUGACGGAGCGACGCCGCGUGAGUGAUGAAGGUCUUCGGAUCGUAAAACUCUGUUAUUAGGGAAGAACAGAUGUGUAAGUAACUGUGCACAUCUUGACGGUACCUGAUCAGAAAGCCACGGCUAACUACGUG